CACGGGGGUUGCGAGCGUUGUCCGGAAUUACUAGGCGUAAAGGGCAGGCAGGCGGAUCCAUAAGUUUAUCGUUUAAGGCGUCGGCUUAACCGGCGUAGGGCGGUAGAUACUGUGGAUCUGGAAUGCGGUUGGGGAAGACAGAAUUCCUGGUGUAGCGGUGGAAUGCGCAGAGAUCAGGAGGAAUACCGAAGGCGAAGGCAGUCUUCCAAGCCGUUAUUGACGCUCAACUGCGAAGGUGUGGGUAUCAAACAGGAUUAGAUACCCAGUCCCUGAG
rnacentral:rRNA from 1 species